CAGCGGAGGGGCAGCCGGGGGUCGGCAGAGCGGGGGUGGCGCCUGGGGGCUCGCGGAACCCGGCGCAGUAAGCCACCAGCAGGGUUUUAAAAGAGUCGGCACGAAACAGAGCGGAGAUAGACCAACGGAAGAUGUGAAGUGACAUGCAUGACUUGCGCUAGAUUUCUCUUGGUCGCAGACCUGGACCGAGAAGUCAGGUCCUGGCGUUUCACGACUGCAGUACAGUUUAACUUUCGGGAGUCCGUUGACACACCUCUGCCAGUUCUCUUGUGAAACAAAAAUUGGACUGUAUGUGUAGCUUGUGAGAUCCUGCUCAGUGGGGCCUAUGUCUUCUGCCUCUGUAAGUGUUUGUUGGAUGAAUGACAACCAUGGGAACUCUCCAGGGAUCCCCUUUUGUCACCAUAGAAACUCCAGGAAUCUUCUCUUUGGUGUGAUCUUAAUGGAUCCUUGGUGAUCCCCAGCAGACAUACCCUCGCUAGAUCCUCAGGGCUCCUUUGUUGCAUAGCCUGAUGAGCUCUUCCGGGAUCCUGUCCUUACAUGACCUCAGGGAAUCUCCAGAGAUCUUCCAAUAAAGUGUCAGUGGAUCCGCAGGGACUCCCUCCUGACACAGCCUCAGGCAGUCUCCUGGGAUUCUCUCCUAGUGGAGCUCAGGAAGGCCCCAGGGACCUCUUCCCAAUAUACAGCCCCGAGGCCUCAGAAAUCCUCUCAGAGGCUGGCUCCUAACAGCCUCCGGGGUCCCCUAUGGACAUCACUGGGGACCUCAGGGGUUCUGUGCAGCUCUUCUGGCUCAUUGCAAGAAUCAGCGAGGUGACAGCAGGACUGAAGAUGAUGGAAGUAGAGUUCACAGAGAAAAAAUGGACAGUAGUUAGUGACUGGCUGCAUGCAAUUAUAGCAUCUUAGAUCGGUUGUCCCUAUAGCUUGAGGAUGCUUUCCUGCCUCAGGUCUCCUGGGGGAAGGAGCAAGACUGACACCAAGAUUGAUGAAGGCUUCAGGACCCUCUGAGCAAAGGGUUAGUAGUGCCAAUCACAGAAACAGGAGAGCAAGGGGUCAGCCUGUUUGCAGCCUACGUUUAUGAUUGGUUUAGGAUGACUUGGGUCAAGGUCACGGAUGUAAGACCUCAGCCAAGCACGAGGUUAGAGGACAGAUUAGUCUCCAGACAAGGAGAUGGGAGGAUCUGCCAGGGCAAAGUCACAGGAAUAGGUCAGCAUCGUGGCAACAUAAUCAAAACACAAAGCCAAGAAGAAACAAUCCCCAGAAAUGGAUUUUGGCUGGGGAGCUUGGUAAGGAUAGGAUGUAAAAGGAGCGUUUGAUAGAAGGCCAGGUGUAUAAACUGAGUAUAACAUAUGUACAGUCUAGGAAUGGGAUCUCUGCAGGCAUCAAACAGGACAGAUGCAUGAACCAGAAUGAAUGAGUGGAGCACUUUGUAUUUAUUUGUGCAACAAAUAAUUUUUAAAAGAUUUGUUUAUUUGAGAGAGGGCAUGGGGGAUGGGGGAUGGUGGCAGAUGAGGAGGGAGAGGAAGAAGCCAACUCCCCGCUGAGCGCGCAGAGCCCACACAGGGCUCAAACCUAUGACCCCGAGAUAAUGACCUAAACCAAAAUCAAGAGUCAGAAGUUCAACAGACUGAACCACCCAGGCACCCCUGUGCAACAAAUAAUUUUUUUUUAAUUUAUUUGAGAGAG